CGUAGGUGAACCUGCGGAAGGAUCAUUC
rnacentral:ncRNA from 10 species